AAUCUCUUAACCCUUCAGUUCCCUUGUCAUUGACCCUCACGGGCACCCAUAGCUGACCCAGUCGGCCACCGUAGUCGGCAGCUCACUAUCCUCCACUAGUCCCAGGUUUGACCGUUUCUCAAACCGUGCCUUCCCAUUUAUGCUGCAUCCGCGCCCUGAAUCUGAAAUUGGUCGUCCUGCCACGCCGCCUCACCGCGGUAUAAGGUCGUCCCAUCCUGAAUGGCCGGUGCGCAGACUCAAUUGCGACUUUGAGGCUGUCAGCCGCCACCCGGCAACCUUCCAGUGAACAGGAUUCUGGGUUUCUCAAAGCUGUAAUUGGAGGUAUGAUGGCGACGCCCACUUGACUCCUACCUGGGGCGGCCAUGUUUAAAACUGUGCCGUAAAACGGAUGAUUAAGCCCUUUGCUAGACCAAAAGAUAAGGCUAUUUUAGGACAAGGAGAAGGAAGUGUCCCUGGAUCCCUAAACAGAGAUGUCGUCUCUGCUCUUAACUCAGCAUCUCAGAUGCCAAAACCUCCUGUGGCCAACAUGGUGGCGCCCAGACAUCAAAGCUGAGCUUUCUUUGUCUCCGGCAGCCUGGGCCACUCCAGAGGUGUUAAAGCUCCAGCACUUCGAGCCUGCCUCGUGGGAAAGUCUUAGGCUGAGUCUGUAGGUGUCUGCAGUUAAGAAGCCAGCGGUCUGCAUAUGAUUGCUCAGGGGUGGUGGCUGGGUCCAACAGCAUUCACUACAGGCCUGCCUUGAAUACCACCUAGCGCAGUGCUCCGCAUAUCACAGGUAUGGGAAGCUUUGGAUUCAUAAGCUCAGUAAAUUAAGGAAUUUCACAUUAUGAACUCAAUUUGAGAUGGGUUGGACUGGUGAUACCUGGAAGGGGUAAAUGAGAACCCACUCUGGAGGCACUUUACGCCUGAGGGAGCAUCCACAAAUAAUUUUUCAGGGGCUGGAAACCUAACAAUUUCACUUCCUAGACAACUUGCUAAAAGUCACCUAAAGACAGUCUGGUUACUGCCAAAGAUAUGCUUUCAAAUAAGAUUUGGAUAAAGAAGGGAGGUAGAUGCCUUUUUUCAGCAGUGGAGUGAUGUCUAGACCAGUAGAUGUACGCAUCUAAGUGAAUUCAUCACCAGCAACAAUUUCCAGAAACUUCCUGACCUCCAGAUUGCAGCUUCAUUAGUGUGAGUUUAAAGCCAACUAGAUGCCAUUCUCAGAUUCCACGCAUAUGGCCAAGGGUCCAGGAAAUAAGAAGAAACAGGUUGAGGGGUUGGUGUUAUGGGGCAUUUACUUGAAUUUUCUAUGCUAUAAUUGUCUCAUCUUUAAAACGGUGAUAAUAAUAAAAUUGUCAGUUAUUAAAUAAAUUAACACAGUGAAAAAAAAUUUCUUCAAGGUUCUU
rnacentral:lncRNA from 10 species